rnacentral:rRNA from 1 species
GUGCCAGCAGCCGCGGUAAUACGGAGGAUCCAAGCGUUAUCCGGAAUUACUGGGCGUAAAGAGUUGCGUAGGUGGCAGAGUAAGUAGAUAGUGAAAGCGUGUGGCUCAACCAUACAUCCAUUAUCUAAACUGCUCAGCUAGAGGACGAGAGAGGUAGAUGGAAUUCCCAGUGUAGGAGUGAAAUCCGUAGAUAUUGGGAGGAACACCGAUGGCGUAGGCAGUCUACUGGCUCGUUCCUGACACUAAGGCACGAAAGCGUGGGGAGCAAACGGGAUUAGAUACCCGGGUAGUCA